AUUGAACGCUGGCGGCAGGCCUAACACAUGCAAGUCGAACGGUAACAGGAAACAGCUUGCUGUUUCGCUGACGAGUGGCGGACGGGUGAGUAAUGUCUGGGAAACUGCCUGAUGGAGGGGGAUAACUACUGGAAACGGUAGCUAAUACCGCAUAACGUCGCAAGACCAAAGAGGGGGACCUUCGGGCCUCUUGCCAUCGGAUGUGCCCAGAAGGGAUUAGCUAGUAGGUGGGGUAACGGCUCACCUAGGCGACGAUCCCUAGCUGGUUGGAGAGGAUGACCAGCCACACUGGAACUGAGACACGGUCCAGACUCCUACGGGAGGCAGCAGUGGGGAAUAUUGCACAAUGGGCGCAAGCCUGAUGCAGCCAUGUCGCGUGUAUGAAGAAGGCCUUCGGGUUGUAAAGUACUUUCAGCGGGGAGGAAGGGAGUAAAGUUAAUACCUUUGCUCAUUGACGUUACCCGCAGAAGAAGCACCGGCUAACUACGUGCCAGCAGCCGCGGUAA
rnacentral:rRNA from 1 species